GCAUUCGUUNGGUAAUCGAAAGGUUUGGGGUUCAAAUCCCUAAUAUGA
rnacentral:tRNA from 1 species